rnacentral:lncRNA from 1 species
GAUGGUGAUGAUGAUGCCUAAGAAGAGGAUGAGGAUGCUUGAUGAACCAUAAAUGACUCGCUAUGAUCUGUUUUCUGAUAUUGUCGACAAAGCGUUUAGACAUUAGACCAUAUAAAUAUAGCAAAUCCAUUGGAUUUAUGCUAUAGAUUUAGGCCUAAUUGUGACAUAAUGUGUAUACGGUAUUUUACGAAUCCCUCUGCUUAAGCCUAUCAGAAACGAGUAUUCAACAAUGUCUUGGUAAAAUUCAAGGAUAACGUCCAUGUCACUUCAGUUGCGUCUGUUGACGUUUCACCCAUGUGCUUUUAAAGGGACUAUCAGUAUUACCUCCAAAUAGCCUGCUACAAUAGGCUACACACCCAUGUCUGACGAUACCACGAGCAUGAAAUGGGAGUAUACCCCUGACUAUCAAAAGGAAGUUGGGGAGGAUAUGAAGGAUGAAACAGAGACUCAUGAGACCAAAUACAACAGGACAGGAAGCAAGGCUUAACGUAAGUCCAGUGGAGGUGGCAAGAAGAAUUCGGUGAAGGAGGACAGCAGCAUUUGUGCAGGGUCUUCUAAUGCACCCAGGUGUAGUUUCCAGGACAGGGAAUCUAACAUUGAGCAGCUGGAGAAGGAGCCUCAGAGGACUCUAAUGCCUUCUCUCAAUAUUGGGACAAGCUGUGCCCCAGUCCUCCUCCUUCCUGAGUAGUCUAACUAAUGAAACAAAAUGUCUCCUAUACUUAAUGGCUUAAUCAUUGGAUAGUGAUUCAGCAUGGCAUGAAGAAUAACCUGACGUUUGAGCAGCUCUCCAUGAUGUGUCUGAAGAUUGUUAAGGUCGUGACCCAGAUGGCCCUCCGCAUUCUGCUACCAGUGCUGGCUCGUAUCAUGGGGGUGAACCUGAGGAGUGGGACGACCUCCCCAGAAUCCCAGUGCUCUCUGACAGGGUCUAAGGACUCCUUGGACAGUCUGGAUGAGCGGGAGAAAAGGCUGCUGAUCAGUGAGAUGAACUACUGGACCAAGGAAAGGAGGAAUGGCAGGGCAGGGUGCCACGAAAAAUAUGUUGGCAGAACCAAACCACCAUGCUACUCCCCUAAGAGGGUCAUUGUUCCUUGUCCAGAUCUGGAAAAGGGUCCAAGGUCAAAGUGUGAGCUAGAGAUCAACCUCCCUGGUACUCCCAUCCCUGAUGAGGUGCCUGAUGAUUUGACCUUCCCCAUCGCCAGGAGCUCCUGCAUCGACAUCAGGGACUCUAUAAUGCAAGGGAUUUCUACGAGUGACCUAAGGACAAAGAUGAUGACACACACAGAUGAAGCCCUGCAUCGUAAUAGUCCAAGGACUGACAGUAACCGACAAUCGAGUGCCAAAGCCUCUCUUCGAUUCUUCACUCCCUCUUGCACCAGCAAGGGAACAUCCUUGGUAACAAAGGGAGUUGGGAUUGACAUGGAAGAGAAAGAGGGGUGCUACCCUAGCAGCUCUGGCCAUCUGAGGGAGUUAUUCAUCACUUCAGACAUCAGCAGUGCUACUGCAUUCCCUCUGCAGUCCUUGAUGGACUCCAGCAAAGAGGAUUUUAUCUGUUUGGUCACAAUACUGGUGAUAAGGUUGCUACCGAAGAUCGGUCCCUCAGCCCUAGAUGGACCUUCCCAACAGGCAGUAGACAUGACAGCAAUAUUUCAGCAGCUCAUCAGACAAGUUCUGUCUGAGUUCUGUGUUGCAUCUGGAUUCUCAAGGACACAGGCGCACCCUCAGGACCUGCACAUCCACACGGUGUUCAGAGGUGUACAUAAAAACCUCCUGGAUGCGUUUGGCUCUUAUAACGCCCUCCAAGCCACUCUGGCCUCCCAGGAUUCUGAAUUUGACAGAGUCCUGGUAAAAUCAUUGCCCAGCAGCUGGUGCAGGGAUCAAGGAGCCAUCAAGACCAGCAUCUACCGCCACAAACCCAGCAGACCAGGCUGAGACAGAGAGUGGGAAUGAGCAGAAAGCAAGAAGGAGCUUCCUUUGCUUCUCAAUGACCAAACUCAGGAUCAACAAUAAGCGUUCCAAGAGAGGAAACAAAAUGACUGCCAUUCAGUCCAGGACCAGACUGAGAUUCCCUCUACUGCAUAGCCCCCCACAUUGGGGAUCAUGGUGCUGAAUCUCCAGUUGGAGAGGUUUCUCGGUUCAUCUCUCAGCCUAUCAACAAGACCCUGAUUAUCGCUCCUUGAUAAUCAGGCUCUUUUCAGCAAUGAUGAAGCCGUUCGAGCGCUCCUCCUGAAAGAACCUGUUACUCUGUAUGAAGAAAUACUUUUGACAAGAGGGAUAUGCAUGUCUACCCUUUAAAGUCUGCUUGAUCAAAUAAAUGCAAACUAUUUUACAA